rnacentral:rRNA from 1 species
UACAGAGGUCUCAAGCGUUGUUCGGAUUCAUUGGGCGUAAAGCGCACGUAGGCGGCUUUGUAAGUUAGAGGUGAAAGCCCGGGGCUCAACUCCGGAAUUGCCUUUAAGACUGCAUCGCUAGAAUUGUGGAGAGGUAAGUGGAAUUCCGAGUGUAGAGAUGAAAUUCGUAGAUAUUCGGAAGAACACCAGUGGCGAAGGCGACUUACUGGACACAUAUUGACGCUGAGGUGCGAAAGCGUGGGGAGCAAACAGG